rnacentral:rRNA from 1 species
CCUACGGGUGGCAGCAGUGGGGAAUAUUGGACAAUGGGCGAAAGCCUGAUCCAGCCAUGCCGCGUGUGUGAAGAAGGCCUUCGGGUUGUAAGGCACUUUCAGUGGGGAAGAAAGCCUUGGGGCUAAUACCCUCGAGGAAGGACAUCACCCACAGAAGAAGCACCGGCUAACUCCGUGCCAGCAGCCGCGGUAAUACGGAGGGUGCGAGCGUUAAUCGGAAUUACUGGGCGUAAAGCGCGCGUAGGCGGUCUGAUAAGCCGGUUGUGAAAGCCCCGGGCUCAACCUGGGAACGGCAUCCGGAACUGUCAGGCUAGAGUGCAGGAGAGGAAGGUAGAAUUCCCGGUGUAGCGGUGAAAUGCGUAGAGAUCGGGAGGAAUACCAGUGGCGAAGGCGGCCUUCUGGACUGACACUGACGCUGAGGUGCGAAAGCGUGGGUAGCAAACAGGAUUAGAUACCCGAGUAGUC